UCCGGCAGCUGUAGGUCAGAUUCUUCCUCACGCUCCUUUUGAAGAAACCUUUGCAACCUUCACAACUGACAGCCCCAUAGUGACGGCCUGAAGGGAAGUGAGUGAGCAUAUGAUCUGGUUCAUCAUGAACAGAGGACAGUGGUCUUUAGCCAAUGACACCUCAGCUCACCCUUCCUAGCUGACAAAGUGCUGUUGAACAUCAGCAGAAGCUUGCAGCUAAGACUGGGCUCCUCUUGCUUGCAGAGCCCAAGACUACAGCUGAAUUGUUAGGAAGAUACUUCACAGCAUCACUGUUCACAUUGACUACAGAGGUCAUGCUGUUGCUCCAUGAUACGUGCCAGAAGCCGGAGUCACAUACCAGAGGCUUUGUCACCACAGACCACACAGUACUCCACCACCUGGGGCCGCUGGACGUCUGCCUUCCCCAGCAAAC